UUACGGCCAAAUCACGUUGAAACACUGGCUUUCGUCCGAUCGCCAAAGUUAAGACAUAUUUAGCCUGGUUAGUACCUAGAUGGGUGAUCGCUCGAGAAUACCAGGUAC